rnacentral:rRNA from 1 species
CUUUCCCUCUUUCUUUCUGCCUAACACAUGCAAGUCGAACGGCAGCACAGUAAGAGCUUGCUCUUACGGGUGGCGAGUGGCGGACGGGUGAGGAAUACAUCGGAAUCUACUUUUUCGUGGGGGAUAACGUAGGGAAACUUACGCUAAUACCGCAUACGACCUACGGGUGAAAGCAGGGGAUCUUCGGACCUUGCGCGAUUGAAUGAGCCGAUGUCGGAUUAGCUAGUUGGCGGGGUAAAGGCCCACCAAGGCGUCGAUCCGUAGCUGGUCUGAGAGGAUGAUCAGCCACACUGGAACUGAGACACGGUCCAGACUCCUACGGGAGGCAGCAGUGGGGAAUAUUGGACAAUGGGCGCAAGCCUGAUCCAGCCAUACCGCGUGGGUGAAGAAGGCCUUCGGGUUGUAAAGCCCUUUUGUUGGGAAAGAAAAGCAGCAGGUUAAUACCCCGCUGUUCUGACGGUACCCAAAGAAUAAGCACCGGCUAACUUCGUG